GUUUUGCUGGAGGCAUAAUCUAGACUUCAUAAAUUAUCAGCCAGUCUGCUCUGCUCAGCUCAGCUUUGUUCAGAAAACAUGUACUGAGAAGCUGUUUUAAGCUCCACAUUCACAUAGACCAUGCUUUGCAGAAGCUCGGAGUCCAUAGGGGCUGCAGACCCACAAAGGGAUCACCAUGGUACAAUGUGCAGAAAAAAGCAGAGCUCUCCUCCAAGACACUAUGGCCAACUGAAGCCCAAAGCCAGCUGAGAGGGGAGUCUGGGAACUGCAGGGUGCAUCAUCAACCCAGUGAAAUGCAGACCAGAGCAGAGGAAGGCCAGGAUCUGCACAGCUCAUUCGCUUUUUAUGGACUUACUUUCCAAGGAAGAAGGUGUGAAACUGUAUAACCCCAUCUCUGAUAAAGAUUGAUGAAGGGAGAGAGAGGAGGAGAGAGGCAAGUGUUCCAGGCAGAGAAAUAGAGACACGACCCUGAACUGGAGCAUUGACUUCCUUCUCUCCCUUUCUCCUUCCUUCCCUCCCUUCCCCUCUUCCCCACUCCAGUUCUUCCUCCCUUCUGUCCUACAUUCCUCCCUUCCUGUCUUUUUCUCUACACCCUGGAGUCUGGAGUCUGUGUGAUGUGUUUCUGUUGUUGUUAUUUUCUUCUGACUCUUCCGGUUUUCCUCCAUGCCUUCCUUAAAUUACUCCCAGGCCCUGCCUCGUGUCUUAUGGGUCCCUCCCUGAGAAGUAUAUUGGCUGGGGAAAAGCUCUGAGGGAGCAGAGCAUGCAUUAGACACAGAAGGGUUGGCUUCUCCCAUCUUCUUGUCCUUUGACUUUUGCAUAUGUGGCCCUCCCCAUCUCAUCAGCUGCUAGCCUGGAGCUCCGGAGGGUGGAGUCUCCUCCAUGCCUUGCAGGGUGCUGCGUGCAGCAGGUGCUCAAGGCUGCGGAGUCAGGAUUUGAAGCUGAGCUCCAGUAUGAGACACUGGGGAAGGUCUUAAUUCCCAAAUUCCAUUUUCCCAUCAGAAUAAUGGAAUGGGGUUUUCAAAUAUCAACUCUGCACAGUUUUUAUGGGAAGAACCCAUUGUUAUUGCAGUCCAUGAGGCAUGUGCCUGGAGCAAUGUAAGUUUUGAUUUUUCCUUUUUUUUAAUACAUGAUUCCUGCCUGGAUUACUGAAGCAGCCUCCUAAGGGCCUCCCUGCUUUGACUCUCAGCUCCCACUGUGUCUCUCAACAUACCAGCCAGAGUGAUCUUUUCACACCGCAAGUUGGGAUCUCCAUGCCGCAUCUUGCUCCCAGCCUCACCAUGGCACGCGUUCCACCUGGGAUGAACACUAAACUCAUUCCAGAAGCCUUCAAAGCUCUGUGUGGUCCAGUUUUUUCCAUUUUGACUCUUCCCUUUGUGUCUUGUUUACUCUUCCCCAAUGUGGCUCACCCCUGCCUUUGGGCCUUCCCAUUUACUGUCUAGAGACUCUGCCCCACUGCCCAUAUGGUGAACCCCUCAUGACCUGCAAGCCCUGAGGCCUCCUCUGACACCUCCAUUAAAAUUGCAGCUCUGCCAGGUGUGAUGGCUCACACCUGUAAUCCCAGCACUUUGGGAGGCCGAGGUGGGUGGAUCACGAGGACAAGAGAUUGAGACCAUCCUGGCCAACAUGGUGAAACCCCAUCUCUACUAAAAAUACAAAAAUUAGCUGGGCGUGGUGGUGCAUGCCUGUAGUCCCAGCUACUCGGGAGGCUGAGGCAGGAGAAUAGCUUGAACUCGGGAGGCGGAGGUUGCAGUGAGCUGAGCUCUCGCCAUUGCGGUCUAGCCUGGCGACAGAGCAAGACUCAAAAGAAAAAAAAAAAAAGAAAGAAAAUUUCAGCAAACCCCCUACACCUUGCCCAAUACCCUGGCAUCUCUAAUCCGGCUUCCUUCAUUGGUGAAAUGUAGCCUUCCUUAUCUGCCCUAGCAUGUGGCAUCUUCUCACAUCCUAGAUCAUUCUCACAGGGCUAGGUAUGAUUCCCUAGAAUCCAUUUCAGCUGGUGAGAGACCGAGUGGUGGUUCUACUCUUCCCAGCAGGUGGCAGGGCCCUCUUGGGGCUUCUGUGUCUUCAUCACCCCUGUGAAAGGGCUGGUCUCUAUGAGCUUCAACUUCCCUUUGGAGUUUAAAUUCCAUUGUGCUGCCCAUACACACAUUUUGAGAAGCCAUUUGCUCUACAACUGGGGAGAACAUGUAUUUCUUUUCCCACAUCUGUCCCUAUUGUCAGGCUGGAAGGUGAGAGUCUAAAUCCACAAGUGAAGGAAUGCAACAUGGGAAGUGUCUCAAAGAACAUCUCCAGAGGGACAGGAUGCUCAGUGGAGUGGGCUGACCUCUCCCCGCUGGUGCCCAGGGCUCUCUCUUCACUGCGGUUCCUAAUGUGGCUGCUUCAUUGACUGUGUGGAGGGAGAACAGGAUGCUGAGAUGACCAGAGGGCGAGUCAAACUUGCAAACCUCUAAAGGAACGUCCAAGCUCCCCAGCCAUUCAUCCAUUCAUCUGCCUAUUCAAUGAUUUGUUCAUUCUUUCCUCCAGAUUAUAGUCCCUUAGACACCAAACGUCUUUAAAGGUAUCCCUGGUAUUUCUUAUGGCUCCUUGAUAUGGUUUUGCUGUGUCCCCACCCAAAUCUCAUCUUGAAUUUCCACAUGUUGUGAGAGGGACCCAGUGGGAGGUAACUGAAUCAUGGGUGCAAGUCUUUCUCAUGCUGUUCUCAUGAUAGUGAAUAAGUCUCAUGAGAUCUGAUGGUAAUAUAAGGGGGAGUUUCCCUGCUCAAGCUCUCUCUUUGCCUGCUGCCAUCCAUGUAAGAUGUGACUUGCUUCUCCUUGUGUUCUGCCAUGAUUGUGAGGCCUCCUCAGCCAUAUGGAGCUGUGAGUCCAAUUAAACCUCUUUCUUUUGUAAAUUUCCCAGUCUCAAAUAUGUCUUUAUCAGCAGCAUGAAAACGGACUAAUACACUCCUCUUAAACCCUUAGCUAUGUAAUUUUUGUUGUCCCCUCUCUGAGCCACCAUUUAUGCCGUUUGCUUAACUUCUGU
rnacentral:lncRNA from 10 species